CGGACGGGUGAGUAACGCGUGGACAACCUACCCCGCACUGGGGGACAACAGCCGGAAACGGCUGCUAAUACCGCAUAUGCGCACAGCCCCACAUGGGGCGGUGCGGAAAGCCUUGUGCGGUGCGGGAUGGGUCCGCGUCUGAUUAGCUGGUUGGCGGGGUAACGGCCCACCAAGGCGACGAUCAGUAGCCGGCCUGAGAGGGUGGACGGCCACAUUGGGACUGAGACACGGCCCAGACUCCUACGGAAGGCAGCAG
rnacentral:rRNA from 1 species